UUUUAUUAGACAAAUUUUAAAACACAAAUGAACAGGAUGUGGAUAAAAGGAAAAAAACAAAACAAUACAGUGACGUUUAGAUGAAGAAAACCGGGGCAUUUUCUCCCAGAUUUUGUCAAACAAUAAAACCAGAUUCAACUCAGCAUCAACUUAGACCUAAACAAGGACUAAAGUAGGACUAUACUAGGUCUAAACCAGAUUAAAUGAACUAAAUCAGUUCCAACCCAAGACAAAAUUUUGGCUAAACCAGAUCUAAACUAGGACUAUACCCAGACUAUACUAGGUCUAAAUCAAAACUAAAUUGGGUCUAAACCUGGGAUAAACAAGGACUAAACUAGGACUAAAUGAAGACCAAAUCAAGUUCUAAAUAAGGAGUAAACCGGGACUGUACCAUGUCUAAACCAGGACUAUACUAGAACAAAAUCAGGACCAAAUCAAGAUAAAAUUUUGUCUGAACCAGGAUUAUUUAAAUCAGUUUUAAAUAAGGAUUAAAUUAAGAUUAAACAAGGUCUAGACCAGAACUAAAUCAGGGCUAAACCAGGACUAUACGAGGUCUAAAUCGUGACUAAAUCAAGUUCUAAAUAAGUAUUAAACCAGGUCUAAACUAGGACUACACUAGGUCGAAACCAGGUCUAAAUAAAUCAGGACUAAACCAGUUCCAAACCAGGACAAUAUUUUGGCUAAACCAGGACUAUUUUAUGUCUAAAUCAAGAUUAAAUCAGUUCUAAAUAAGGACUAAACAAGGUCUAGACCCAGACUAAAUAAUGAGUAAACCAGGACUGUACUAGGACUAAACCAGGUCUAAACCAGGACUAAUUCAGGACUAAACCAGGACCAAACCAAGACAUUUUGGCUAAACCAGGAUUAUACCAGGACUAUUUUAGGGUUAAAUCAAGACUAAAUCAGUUUUAAAUAAGGAUUAAACUAAGACUAAACAAGGUCUAAACCAGAACUAAAUCAGGACUAAACAAGGUCUAAACUAGGUCAAAAUCAAGACUGAAUCAGGUCUAAACAAGGACUAAAUCAGGACUAAUCCACAUUUAUACUAGGUCUAAAUCGAGAAUAAAUCGGUUCUAAACAAAGACUAAACCAGAACUAAUCCAGGACAAAAUUUUGGCUAAACCAAGUCUGAACCAGGUUUAAACCAGGAUCAAACCAGGUCUUCUAAACCAGGACUAUACUAGGUCUAAACUCGGUCUCAAUAAACAGUUUAUAAAAGUGAAAAAGAAAGACUACAGUCACAUGUUGAUGAAGAAAACUGGGACAUUUUCUCAGUUUUCCCAGAUUUUGUUCGAGUCGCCAACAGAACCAGAGGAAAUCUUCAUCCACAUGUUUCCAAACGUCGACCGUCCCAAAGUCCUGACCAGACCCGGACCUGCCCGUCUGACGUCUGAAGGUUGAACAUCGAAGUCGUCGCUGUGUCAAACCUCUGUUACAUGUUUGUAUCAUGUUGUUUCUCGUCUCCUUUUUUUUUUUUUUUUUUGUAUUUAUUUAUUUUGUGAACAUAAACGAGAAUCUCUAAA